rnacentral:sRNA from 1 species
AGGACCUCUGCUUCCGGCGCCGUAACUGCUGCCAUCUUCUCCGCGCUAUGGCUGCGUUCAGCCGUCAGCAGCCUCGUCUUACAGCGUGACUGCAAAGAAAAAGACUUUUGUUUUGCAAAAGAAAAGCAGCUUGGUGACUCCGUCCACAUCGCCACAGUUGAGUCAGAUGGCAGUGGCAGUCCUUUGCCAGUGGAAGGAGUUCCUGCUUAGGGGAGGUGCAGGAGAACUAAUUUAUUAUUGUGCAACUGCCAGUCCUGCGCAUUCCAGCUACGCUAAGUGCCCUGCCCAGGCAUGUAACAAAACAUAGACCUGUUUUGAAGUGGCUUGUUACCCAAGGGUGCCUCACUCUCAUCUGCACCACCAGGAAGGUGAACUGUGAGGGCUCCUAUAAGGGGCAGGAGGAGCAAAGCUGUCUUAGGCCAACCAGAGAUUCAUCUUUCAUGCAGUGACAUGUUGAUAAAAAAUGAUGGUCAGUAUGAAACUGGUAACAGGUUGUAGAUGGCUUUCUAUGGUACAUCCCAGUCUCUUGCAAACGAUUGUGAAGAAUGCCAGUGUUGUUUAAGAUUCAGCAGUUUGUGUGGGGAGGUGGGGGCAGGAUGGGGGUUUGGUUGCCAAAA